ensembl:snRNA U2 U2 spliceosomal RNA
AUCUCUUCUCGGCCUUUUGGCUAAGAUCAAGUGUAGCAUAACCACAUUGUCAAAUUUAUAAUCACUUCCAUCUGAGUUUCUGACCUCAU